UAUAAUAUCGUUUUAUUAUUGCCUCAGUAAUAUAACAUUUGAUUCAAAUAAUUUUUUUAAUGAAGGGUUAACAAUGGAUAUUGUGUUUUUACGCCUAAUACCUGUGAUAUUUGAAGUUAUUUAAUAUUAUUACACAAAAUAAAUAUCACUUACCUCCAAACAUUACAAUU